rnacentral:tRNA from 1 species
GCCUGGGUGGCUCAGUCGGUUGAGCGUCUGACUUUGGCUCAGGUCAUGAUCUCACGGCUCGUGGAUUCAAGCCCCACGUCAGGCU